GAACCUUACCCAGGUCUUGACAUCUUUGAUUCACCUGAGAGAUCAGGUUUCCCCUUGGGGGGCAAAAUGACAGGUGGUGCAUGGUUGUCGUCAGCUCGUGUCGUGAGAUGUUGGGUUAAGUCCCGCAACGAGCGCAACCCUUAUGACUAGUUGCCAGCAUUUAGUUGGGCACUCUAGUAAGACUGCCGGUGACAAACCGGAGGAAGGUGGGGAUGACGUCAAAUCAUCAUGCCCCUUAUGACCUGGGCUACACACGUGCUACAAUGGAUGGUACAACGAGUUGCGAGACCGCGAGGUCAAGCUAAUCUCUUAAAGCCAUUCUCAGUUCGGACUGUAGGCUGCAACUCGCCUACACGAAGUCGGAAUCGCUAGUAAUCGCGGAUCAGCACGCCGCGGUGAAUACGUUCCCGGGUCUUGUACACACCGCCU
rnacentral:rRNA from 1 species